ACUCGUAAAGAAAAUAAACAUCUGACACAUGCCAAUACUUACGAGGCAACAAAUUAAACUUUUCAAAAUGAAAUUUUUAUCAGAAAUUGCUGAGAUAAUAUUAACUUCGAGUCUAUUAGUAUUUGUAACAGAAACAAAAACUGAAAAUUCGAAGCCUUUUCAAAAUAUAUUUGGGAUAGAAUUUGAUAUAAAAGGCAUAGAUCUUAAUAAGACUGAUUUUGAGCUGGAUAUGGAGGAAUGUAUGGAUGAAUACAUGCAAUGCUUUAAUACUGAUAGGAAAAGACAAAUUUGUGCAAUCAACGAUGAAAUGAAGAAAAGAGUAUUUCUUUCACUGUGUUUGAUGGAGUACGAGAAUUGCAAGGGAGUAAAAAAACUUUGGCAUUAUAAUAACGACGAAGAAUGUUAAAGACUGCCUUUAUGAACCUACAUUGAUCAGCACCUUUGAAGGCCUUAUUACUAGAUAAAAUAAGUGAAUAUUAUAAAUGAUUAAAAAUGAAUACUUAUU